UCAAAGAUAAUAUUGAUAACAAAAUAAAAUAAAUGUUUACUUGUUUUAAAAUAUUUACUUUUAACUAUUUGUCCAUAUUAAAAAUAAUGGAUAUCCAAUUACAAAAAGUUGCUUUACAAAAGAUGAUAUAGAUGAUUAUACCGAAUUUUUUGUGGGUUCAACAGAAAAUAUUCCAUUUUCCUCGAACCGUUCCGUCGACCUAAACUCCAUGAUUAUGUAGAAUUAGUCGUGAAGUUGGUUUACAGUAAUGAAUAAUUCAAAUUACAUUUCAGGUCAAUAUGUGAAAAAUUUAAUGUUAGUCAAUCAUCAACAUUAAAAUCUGUAAGAAGAGUGAUCAUUGCAUUAGCAAAUGUAGCUCCAAAGUUUAUUGUUUGAUCAGAUUCAGAUAGAGCUUUAGUAGUUAGGAAUGGAUUUUCAUCAAUAAGUCAUUUUCCGGAUGUUGUUGGUGCAAUUAAUGGAGCCCGUAUAAAUAUUCCAGCUCCACAUAAUGUUACGAACAUAUAUAGAUGUAGGUCCUUACGACUCUUAAUACAUAAGAGGGACCACAUCAAUCAUAAAUAAUAGACAUCGGGAAAUGAUUAUAAAUAAUAUAAUAUUCGUAUGAAUAAAAAGGAAUUAUUAAUUAAAAUCGGAAGGUAACACAAACAGUGCUGUCCCGAGGGCAGAGCAAACGGAGCACUUGCCCAGGGCCUUGCGCCUUCAAGGGCCUCGCGUUUAUACAAUAAUAUAUAUAUACAACAUACAACAUACCAUGUAUAAAUAGAUUAUGGAUAUAUGGAUCGAGGACCGCUAUUCUGGUGUACCUAUGAAUUUCGAUAUAAUAUUGUAGGGCCUCGAAUUCUAAUGUUGCCCAGGGCCUCGCAGAACCUAGGAACGGCACUGAACACAAACGCAUAUUAUUUAUGAAUUUGAUGGCUACAUUCCAAAAUGUAAUCUUAAAAAAGCAAUUAAAAAAAGCACGAAAAAAUAUGGGAGAUGUGCGAAUAGUAAUAUUACCGAAGUCGCUAAAGUAAUAAAUCUUAUAUUCAUAAUAAUCAGGAACAACUUUUACAUAGUGCGGCACGAUUGAUUCCCACAAGACCUCAGUAUAUAAGGGGGUUACUAACAGACCAAUAUUUAAAUGUGUUUUACGAAUAAUUGAUUGACAUAUUUCUGUUUUUCUUUUAUUGUGAAUUAUGAAGUUCAAAAUAAUAAUACCAAUCCGGUAUGAUUGGGUUAAUGUUGUAUUUCUAAUAUCUAGUUGCGUAGUCGGGGGGGGGGGGAUAACGGGUUAUACACCCUUCGAAAUGUCUUAUUUUGUAAAAUGUACAAUGAUUUUAAGACAUAAAUAUAAUGCUAAAUCAUGUCAUCAUUAAAUAAUGAUCACAGUUACAAUAAACUA